CACCUGACUCUACCUCCUGAGGGCUGGGAUAAAAGUGUGCAGUGUACAUUCCGGCACUAUGAAAGCUAAGCAGUUGGGGAUGAAGCUCCCAGGAUUGCUAAUGGCAAGGCAUAACAAAGCCUAUUCAGCACUGUGCAUACCAGCACUGUAAGCAGAUUUGGUUAGACAAAAUGUGGAGGUAGCGAGUCACUCGGUGUGCACAGAACCCCAUGGACACCCUUUGAGGAUGCUGGAAGACUGACUGAGGAGAAGAGCAUCAUUUCUAUGAUCUCUCCACAACCCAGUGGGGCAGGGUAUCAGAUGUCCUCUUGCACAAGGGCCUCCUAGGCCCCACCCAUACACCCCAGAAGUUUGCCUCAAGGUUCCCUUGAUCCACAAAAGCUGGAAAAGGAACAAAAGUCAGAUAAGGAGAGUCUGGCCUCUGCCUGGCAGAGACUUAAAAGACUCCCAGCUCAAAGGGCAAGUGGUGCCCUUUGCCUUAGGAGCUGUCUGUGCCUCAGUUUCCACACCCUCUCUCAGUGCCCCUGCCCUGCCUGAAGAACUGCAGCAUUCCCCACCUCUAUUCUGCUCGAGCUGCAUGUGUGGCAGGCACCUGGAAGCAGAACCAGCCUCCUGUCUCUCUAAUGAGUUAAAGCUAAGCAUGGUCUGGAAGAGUGGCCAGGGCCAGCUGGAUCUGCCAGCUCAGGAAGCCUGGCUCUCCCAGGCCCUUAUCUGGAUUUGUGUUCUUUUCCAGCCCUCUGCUCAUGCUGCCCACAGGGUUUUUCAGGCUCCUCAAACCAUAUGGAUUUUCCAGUUCAUGUGGCCUGUGUUUCACACCACAUCUAUCUAUAACCCUCUUUGAGGGGGCUGAAGGAAAACAAGCAAAUUCCUCAUCAGUGAACCAGGCAGCAGGUUUACUAAGCACAUAAUUUGCUAGUAUUUGCUUUGUUCAAAAUGUGUGGCUAGUUAAUACAUCCAUAUGGAAAAAGUUAUAAAUGUACAAAAGCAUAUUAAGUGAAACAUUCUUCUCCCACCCAUGUCCCCAACUACUACAGCCUUGUCCUGGAGACAAAUGCUAUUACCAGGUUUUCAUGUAUUUUUUUUUCUGUGCAUAUAUCAGGGCAUACACAGUUGGUUUCACUUGAAAUUCAUUCUUUGGGGAGGAAGAAGGGGGAGAAGAGAUAAGUUAUAACCACUGAAGUAUACAAGGCCAAAGCCAUUUAUGAGAAAGGCUACAUUUCUGGGCUUGGGUGUGAAGCUUAGACACACUGGUACCAGAAAGAGAUUAACAGAAAUAGGACAAAAGAAGGAAGAGACGAGAAGAGGAAAGAAGGAAGGAUAGAUUUUCUUGCUAUUCUUGCAGUUAACUUUGCCCUUGAGUUUUGACCAGUAGGCUGAGAGCAAAAGUGAAAUAUACAAUUUCCAAGUUGGGUCUUGAGGGGAAAAGGUAUAUUCUGGUGAACUAUGGGGAUCUUUCAGACAGAAGACAUAAACUUAGGAUGGUGUAGUAACAGUACAAAAAAAAAAAAAAUCUACUCCCUGACCUUCUCAGCCUGAAUUGCUUAUGUGCAGAUUUUUACACAUGAGAGAAAUAAAUAACAUUCUUGUUUCACCCUACCUAACAAUAUAUAGGUAGAUGGAGACAAAUUGCAUCGAAUUCUGUAUACUUCAGCUUUUAAUAUACCAACUGGCCUUGUCAACAUGGUUUGUAUUACAAAUACCUUAUAGGCCUGAUGUGGUUGGAUCCCAUUUAUGCCUAUAGUUCCAGCUAUUUAGAAAGAGGGAGAAGGCGGAUUACCUGUGUCCAAGAGUUCAUGGUCAACUUGAGAAACAUAGCAAGAUCUUGUCUCAAAACCAAGCCCCAAAUAUACUGAUAUAUUAUAUAUGAUAUACUCACUAAGCACACUAAACACUUUUUGCCUUCGCUGAGCAUGGUGGCAUAUGCCUUCAAUCGCAGCACUUAGGAGGUAGAGGUAGGCAGAUCUCUGUGAGUUUGAG